GCGCCUCUAGCUCAGCGGCAGAGCAUCUCGCCUACACCGAGUUGGCCGGGGGUUCGAGUCCCUCGAGGCGCACAA
rnacentral:tRNA from 2 species